rnacentral:rRNA from 1 species
ACACGUGGGUAACCUGCCCAUAAGACUGGGACAACUCCGGGAAACCGGCGCCAAUACCGUAUAACAUUUUGAACUGCAUGGUUCGACAUCCAAACGCGGCUUCCGCUGUCACUCAUGGAUGGACCCGCGUCGCAUUAACUAUUUGGUGAGGUAACGGCUCACCAAGGCAACGAUGCGUACCCGACCUGAGAGGGUGAUCGGCCACACUGGGACUGAGACACGGCCCACACUCCUACGGGAGGCAGCAGUACGCAAUCUUCCGCAAUGGACGAACGUCUGACGGAGCAACGCCGCGUGAGUGAUGAACGCUUUCCGGUCGUAAAACUCUGUUGUUACGCAAGAACAAGUGCUACUUGAAUAACCUGGCACCUUGACGGCACCUAACCAGAAAG